GUUUUUAAAUGCUGUUAAGCGUUUGAACAUUCAUUAAUAAAUAAAGCGUGUGUAUAAAGGGGAGCUCGACUAACAUAAGCCAGUCUACUGUCCCCUCAGAGAUGCACAGGUGUAUAAAGGAUAAGAAAGCGAGCACAUGCGAAGUAAAUCGCCAGCUCAACAAUCAAAGGUUCAUUAAUGAUCCUUCCGCAGGUUCACCUACGGAAA
rnacentral:misc_RNA from 1 species